rnacentral:rRNA from 1 species
GACAGAGGCCUCAAGCGUUAGGCGGAAUCACUGGGCUUAAAGCGUGUGUAGGCGGAUCGUUAAGUGUCUUGUGAAAUCCCACGGCUCACCCGUGGAACUGCUGGGCAUACUGGCGAUCUUGGGCCAACUAGGGGCAACUGGAACAAGCGGUGGAGCGGUGAAAUGCACAGAUAUCAGGAGGAACACCGGUGGCGAAGGCGGUGAUCUGGGCCAGUACUGACGCUCAAGAGCGAAAGCGUGGGUAGCGAACAGG